UACGAAGGGGGCUAGCGUUGUUCGGAAUUACUGGGCGUAAAGGGCGCGUAGGCGGUGUGUCAAGUCAGGCGUGAAAGCCCCGGGCUCAACCUGGGAGCAGCGCUUGAGACUGGCACGCUCGAGUUCGGGAGAGGAUGGUGGAAUUCCCAGUGUAGAGGUGAAAUUCGUAGAUAUUGGGAAGAACACCGAUGGCGAAGGCAGCCAUCUGGACCGAC
rnacentral:rRNA from 1 species